GCAGUAUGUUAUGACGGAUGAUGCAGUUCUCAUGAAGGUGGGUGCAGUCUCUCUGCAUUGCUUGCAGUGACCCCUGCAUUGUCCGGGAGUGUGGAUGCAGUGCCCAGUAUUGGAUGCAGUGUCCCACAAGGUGCAUGCAGUAGAUUGUGACAGAGGAUGCAGUGCCCAUGAGGGUGGAUUCAGUGAUCCGGCAGUGGUUGCAGUGCACCCUGCUGUGUCCCUGAAUGUGCAUGCUCUGAAAAUGCAGUGGAUGCAGUGAUCCUGCAGUGAUUGCAGUGCGCCUGCAUUUCCACAUCAGCUGGAAGCAGUGUCCCUGCAGGGGUUGCAGUGCCACCUACUGUGUCACUGAAGGUGAAUGCAGUGCCCAGGCAGUGAAUGCAGUGUACCUAUAGUUUUAUGCAGUAUGUUU
rnacentral:lncRNA from 1 species